UACCUGCAGCUCGAGUGGUAACCGCUAUUAUUGGGCCUAAAGCGUCCGUAGCCGGUUUGGUAAAUAUCUGGGUAAAUCGUGAGGCUUAACUUCACGAAUUUCGGAUAGACUGCCAGACUUGGGAUCGGGGGAGGUCAGAGGUACUCCAGGGGUAGCGGUGAAAUGUUGUAAUCCUUGGAGGACCACCGGUAGCGAAGGCGUCUGACUAGAACGAGUCCGACGGUGAGGGACGAAGCCCUGGGGCGCAAACCAGAUUAGAUACCCGGGUAGUCCAGGGUGUAAACGAUGUGGGCUUUGUAUUGGAGGUCCCACGUGGGCGUCCAGUGCAGAAGAGAAGUUGUUAAGCCCACCGCCUGGGAAGUACGGUCGCAAGGCUGAAACUUAAAGGAAUUGGCGGGGAGCACAGCAACGGGAGGAGCGUGCGGUUU
rnacentral:rRNA from 1 species